rnacentral:rRNA from 1 species
UACAGAGGGUGCAAGCGUUAAUCGGAAUUACUGGGCGUAAAGCGUGCGUAGACGGUUGCGUAAGUCAGAUGUGAAAGCCCCGGGCUCAACCUGGGAAUUGCAUUUGAGACUGCGUAGCUAGGGUGCGGAAGAGGGAAGCGGAAUUUCCGGUGUAGCGGUGAAAUGCGUAGAUAUCGGAAGGAACACCAGUGGCGAAGGCGGUCUGCUGGGCAGUUGCUGACACUGAGGCGCGACAGCGUGGGGAGCAAACAGG